CCCCGCCCCAAGACCCAGCGCCUUUCCCUCCUGCUUGGGCUGUUUCCAGCGGCCUCGCCAGCGUGAAGAAACGCAAACAAUGAUUUGAGAGAGUUACAGUCACUCCUGUAAAAAGUCUGACGAAUGCAAACGGCAGGGCACGGCCCUGGGUUAUGAAAGAGAAGCUGCAGGUACUUGGAGAAAAGUCGCGCUCGUGUUGUCAGGCGGCCAGCCCUCUGUCAUGCUUGUCGCUGAAAGCCCCCGCAUGAAUGUCCCCAGCAUUCUUUUACUUGGCUUAUGUUUUCUUAGACUUGUUUAUGUUUACAACUUGAAUGAGCGCGAGCAGCCAAAAAUUUCUCUUUAAAAAAUGUUUUCUGCAUGGAACAGUGAGCAAUCGUCUUUAAAUCAGACCAGAAGUUCACUGCCCCUGGAGGUGCCAGACCCUGUGAUGGUAGCUCUAUACACUUUGUGCAUUUUCGUAUUUUGGAUUAAUUACAACAGCUUUGUUUUGAGACACAUUACACACUUUGAAAAACUGGAGACCUGAGGUGGUGACAAACCAGGACUUGGGAUCACUGACGAGGACAAUCGGAGCUUUAUUCUAGUUGUUCUUUGAGCAUUUGAGCAUGGAGCUGCUUCGACUGAGAAGUACUCACGUGGAUAUCACAUAACAAAGAUGUGAUUAAUGACGGAAAAGCACACUGAGAACGGACUGCUCCGGCCAGAAGUUAUGUGUAGGAAUCAUCUAGCUCCUAAAAUAUUCCAUUUGCAAUGUACUACAUUUGGGACAUUGGUCCCUAAAGGCAACUUUCUUGUGGAAUGUCCAUGUGGACACUGCCUAAGGGACUUUUUUUUUUUUUUUAAUUGGCUCAAGAACAGAGAACCAGGUUUGGGGUGGAUUAGAAAGAUAAAAUAUCUCCAUACGUCUUUUCUGCCUUUAAGCCCUGCAACUCAAGUGCACUGGCUAUGACUGAUAAUCGUUUAAGUUAACAUGCUCAAGGUUGCACAGUACAUGGAAGUGCUGGGAUCUGAAUAGCCUGUACUACACACCUAAUUGGAAUCAAGGUCAUAGAGGCCUUAUAAGCUAUGCCAGGCUUUAAAUACUCAAGAAACAGGGAAGAUUGAAGCAAAAUUUGAAGCAUUAAGAUUAUUCACAAUCGAAGACAUGGUUCCCCUCCUGCUUUCCUGAAGACUACAGGUACCAAAACCACAUGUCCUCCUGGAUAACCUAGGAUUCCAGGCUUCUGCUUCUUAAAAAUGCAAGCUCUGGAAGAGGAGCCCUGUCAGAUUUUCAUUCAGCAAACAAUUCUGGUUUACCAACUCUUACAUGGAAACAACAACCUCAAAAGUGAACUUAGAGGAAAGAAAGCUGCUUUUAUAAAAAGUUUUCUGAACAAUAAAUGCAGGGUGUUUGUUUUUUUUCCUUACUCUAUGACAUGUACCAUGGUAAGGUUAAACUUCUUCAGGUCUGAGUCAGUAGAAUGAGAUGUGCUUGUUUAAUGUGUUUCUAUUGAGUAAAUCCUCCGGAGAAUUGUGAAAGAAGGUACCUGGUCACUUGUUUCUUCAUCUCCCUCCUACCUCCCCCGACCCUAACCCUACAGGUAUCUAGUGUCGACUUCCUUCUCUUUAAAUGCUCAAAGUCCCACCACAGCAAACAUAUCUACCCAAAUCUAUUCCCUUUUUAUAACACCUGUCCUUUAAAGUCAUAGCAUUUGCUUCUUCUACACCUAAACCCCAUAUUAAAUGAAUCGUUAGGUAACAAGUGAAAGGGAGGGAGGGAGCACAUUCAUACUAAAGUGUAAAUGAAUGAUAGCGGUGCUUAGUAAGCCAUCUCUUACAAAGGGUAGUUCAAUUGUAAACAGUUGCUUACAGAACAAAUAAAUAAAUUUUCUAUUAUUUCCUCAAAUAAGGGCACACUUUAUUCUUUUCUACUGGGUGAAGUAAAAUAUAUGGCUUGGGAAUAACAGCAGUAUUUUAAGUGGGAAUGGUAGUUAGGACAAUAUUAAGAAACGUUGUUGAGUUUAAGAAGGGUUUAGUAUAUUGGUGAAGGGGAAGAGGUAAGGCAAACUCUGAACAUGGGAGGUUUUGGUUCCUUCAGCUUCAUUUUCUCUUCCUUAUUUUUAUGCUGAUUGUGUCUCUUUUUCCUUCCUUCUCAACAGACUGUUUCAGUCCUUCUUGGAAUUAUUUAUUUAUUUUGCUCCUGCUGACAAGCUGGAGGUUGAAUUAUGUGCUCAGUCUGAAAAUGUUCCUUUAGGCUCGUGCCUCUGAACUUUCUAGCCAAUGCCGAGUAAAUAGGUACUGUGCUGUAUGCAAAUGUAGGCAUAUUUGUCUGAGUAGGCCAAAGGAGGGGAGGCAUUCUGCAAAAUGCCUUUAGAACAGAAACAAACCUUUGAGAUGAAAUAUUUUAAAGCCUCAUGAAAAUAAACUAAACUCUUCGGGAACAGAGAGUACAGAGGAAUACUUAUCUAUACAAUAAAUUGGAGAAAAACCACACACGAAGCAAGACGUGACUAAUACUUCAGCAGUGAGCUCACCUCAAGCAUUUCAUGAAUUUCACAUGACCCACCCACUUUUUCUCAGUACCUCUCAAGAUUACCAUAUCAGCAGCAAUAAUACUCUGUUGUUCUGAGUGCCAGAUUUACAUAUCAACGUAGCCAUGGCAUUCCUGAAUGUAGAAUAUUGUACUGUUCCCCUUGUUUGUGGUUUCUAUAAGGUUAAUUUUUGUUCCCUUACCCUCCUCACUUAAUCUCAUGCCACCCCCUACCUCUCUUCAAUCAGAGGUUUGUUUUUGUCUAUGAAUAGUUUUCCUCUUUUCUCAUUUUCUGUGUCAAAAUUUGAACUAUCCACAAAUUCACUGUAAAACCAUGCUGCUUUUUAAAUUUUUAUUACUCAGCUAUAGAUGAUCAACUCUUUGAAAAGAUAAGCCAGGGACAGAAAGUAACAGCUGGUCACUUCUAGGAUGGCUCUGGGAUACCUUCUUUCUCAAAUAUACGGUAUGUUAAGGUGGGUCAGAAGUUACCAUGGUAGAUUUCAUGGCUACCUUUGUUUCUUUCUUGGCAGGCUUUGUUUUUAAUUAUUUCUAUUUCUAAAUUGGAGAUGGGGAAAAAUCUCCAUGCCAGAACUGAGUCAAGCAACUUUCAUUUCCAAUGAAAGUUUGGAAAGGGCUAGAUAAUUUUUAAAUUCAUAGACUCUCGUGUGUCAAAUUUAAUGGAAAACCAGCUGGAGCCUAAGAAGCUAUUUUAAUGAGCUUCCUUUUUCUCUGAUGUUUCCCCAGAGGCAUGUGCCAAGCGGGCCCAUGUGGCCUAGGGAGUAACAUGAUCAUCUUGGCUCUGUUUAGACACCUGUGCUCUUUUAGCCUAGUGGUAAGAAGAACAGAAGAGAGAGGGUUGAGGGCAUGGAAGGCAUGCAGGCCUAGUGGGCGUGGGUGUGUGCCAUGCUGCUUAGGAAUUCACUACAAGAAACUCCACAGCAGCGGCAAAGCCUGAUGCAUCAUAGGCCAACAGUGCCUCUGUGUGGGAUUUCUGAGAGUGCAUGAAAUGUGUCUGUGUGUAUGUUGGGGAGGGAAAAAUGGGGGGAGGAGAAAAUAUGCAUUUUUAAAAGGGAUUGCAUGCCUUGGAGGUUCUUUUUGAGAAGGCGAUAUAGGGAAAAAAGAUUAAAAACCAUGAAUACAAAGUAUGCCUGGGAGUCGGAGAGCAUAUUUUUCUUCUCAACUUCUUCCCACUCCUUAAAGAACAUACAUUUGCUGUGUUCACUUUUCCUUUUCUAGCAAUCAGUGUGAUGCUUGGCUCUCCCUACCCACUUAACACAUAGAUAUUAAACUUGAUCUGUAUUAUUUUUCACCAGGAGUCUUGUUUAGUGAUUAUUCAUAGUCUCCUGUGUGUGUGAAUUUCUCCUUCCUGGAUUAUACAGUUCUUGAGGGUUUAUACUUAUAGAAGUUAAUAUUCACUCUUGUUCUUCCUCACCAAUUUGUUACUAAUUCUGGGUAUUUCUCUGCAAAUGUUGAACAUAUGACUACACAAUACUUUUUCAUAAGAUUUUCUUCCACUUACAAUGUCUUCUUUU